CCGGGGGACGGCCGCCGGCGGGCGCAAGCCAUGCGGGAGGAAAGUCCGGACGCCAAAGAGCAAGGCGCUCUCUAACGGAGAGCGGGGGAGACCCCAGGGAAAGCGCCACAGAAAAUAUACCGCUAACCGGUUUUACGACCGGCAGUAAGGGUGAAAUGGCGAGGUAAGAGCUCACCGCGAUGGUGGCGACAUCAUCGGCACGGCAAGCCCCGCCUGGCGCAAGGCCAAAUAGGGAAACGUUACACAGGGUUGCUCGCCCGAUGUUUCCGGGUAGGCCGCUGAUGAUCGCGUCGGCAACGGCGCGGCUAGAUGAAUGGCCGUCGCCUGUUUAUAACAGGUACAAGAUCCGGCUUACAACCGGCCUCU
rnacentral:RNase_P_RNA from 1 species